rnacentral:lncRNA from 1 species
UUUUUCCACGGUUUGGAAGCUUUAUUUUUUUGCUCUUUGCAAUAAAUAUUGUUGCUGCUAAUUCUUUGAGUCCACACUGCUUUUGUGAGUUGUAGCACUCACCCGAAGGUUUGCAGCUUCACUCCUGAAGCCAGUGAGACCACGAACCCAACGAGAGGAACGAAGAAUUCCAGACGCGCUGCAUUAAGAGCUGUAACACUCACUGCGAAGGUCUGCAGCUUCACUUUUGAAGCCAGCAAGACCACGAACCCAUCAGAAGGAAGAAACUCCAAACACAUCCGAGCAGCAGAAGGAACAAACUCCGGACACGCUGCCUUUAAGAACUGUGACACUCAGAGCGAGGGUCUGCGGCAUCACAUUUGAAGUCAGUGAGACCAAGAACCCACCGAUUCCGGACGCGAGCAGGUUGCUUCAGGGUAUAGACAUUUGGCACAGUACUGCAGCAUAAACCCAUCAAGCUGAGUGGAACCCUCACUCAGGUGGCGCAUCAAGAUUGCUGCUUGUCAAUACAGACAACUGGGAUAACCGAGGCCUCUAAACCAGCCAGAACACUCACGGAUUCUGUAGUAGUCAGUCCUCAAGUUUGUUGGUGUGACCCUGAAGGCAGCGCUUCAUCCUCUAACUUACCUACGCAUCCACACUGGGCUCCAUAUGAAUGGCAGCUGGUCGUCUACUUCACAAUUUAACUUGGGAUCAAAUGUGCUCUUCUGGAAGCUGACUUUAAGGCAGGGAAUGUUCAGGGUAGCUGAAAUCUGCAGAAGCUGGCAGCCUGGGAGCAUGGUGCUUCAAUCCAGGGCUGGCCAGCAGCAGUGCUGUGAUGGGGGCCCAGGUGCUCUUUGGUGUCCUGAACCAUGAUUAUGUGUUUCUGUUGAGAGCUUAUUAUAUACCAGGCAUUGCACUGAGCAUUGUUCAUGGGUUCUCAGACUUAGUCUUCACAACAGUUCUGUGAGCAAUCAUCUAGAAUCAUUCUUGUUUGGAUGAGACACUGCAGUUCAUAAAGGUUAACUUCUCCUAAGUAAUAAGUGGUGGAGCUGGGCCUUGAGCCCAGGUGCUCUGAUGUUGUCUCUUAUCUUCCUUACUCUGUCAGAACUUGACUUCAGUAAUGGCGUUAGAGAGACAUAUUAGUGUCAGGUGUAAAUACCCACCGAGAGGCAGUGUGGUGCAGGGAUCGGGGACAUGGACUGUGGAGUCAGUCUAUCCAACACACGUGGGUUUGAUCCUGGCCCCAAACCUCCCCUGUGUGGAUGAAUAAAUGACCUAACUCUCCAACCCUCUGUGUUCGCAUCUGUAAGGUGCUGGUAACAGCCACACGUCCCGUAAGCAUGAGAUGAUAUCACAUCUACAAAACUCCUGGCACACGGCAUCCUCUCAAUGUUAGCUGUGAUUAUUAUCCACAAGGAGUUAUGUGAGAAUGUUCCUCCAGUGGGAUAUCUGUGAUUUACCUAUUAGAUAU